GACGAACGCUGGCGGCGUGCCUAAUACAUGCAAGUAGAACGCACAGUUUAUACCGUAGCUUGCUACACCAUAGACUGUGAGUUGCGAACGGGUGAGUAACGCGUAGGUAACCUGCCUGGUAGCGGGGGAUAACUAUUGGAAACGAUAGCUAAUACCGCAUAAUAUUAAUUAUUGCAUGAUAAUUAAUUGAAAGGUGCAAUUGCACCACUACCAGAUGGACCUGCGUUGUAUUAGCUAGUAGGUGAGGUAACGGCUCACCUAGGCGACGAUACAUAGCCGACCUGAGAGGGUGAUCGGCCACACUGGGACUGAGACACGGCCCAGACUCCUACGGGAGGCAGCAGUAGGGAAUCUUCGGCAAUGGACGAAAGUCUGACCGAGCAACGCCGCGUGAGUGAAGAAGGGUUUCGGAUCGUAAAGCUCUGUUGUAAGAGAAGAACGGGUGUGAGAGUGAAAAGUUCACACUGUGACGGUAUCUUACCAGAAAGGGACGGCUAACUACGUG
rnacentral:rRNA from 1 species